AACGCACCUUGCGCUCCUUGGUAUUCCGAGGAGCAUGCCUGUUUGAGUGUCAUUAAAUUCUCAACUUCACUGAUUUGUUUUGAGUGAAGCUUGGACUUGGAGCAUGCUGGCCCCUUUGGGUCGGCUUCUCUUUAAAUUCAUUGGCGGAGUCUUCUUUGUCCUUCCGGCAUCGGCGUGAUAAUUGUGUUGCGUGUUUGCCGAGGGUCUCAGUCCGCUUACAAUGGUCUUCGGACAACUUAUCAAACCUUGACCUCAAAUCAGGUAGGACUACCCGCUGAACUUAA
rnacentral:misc_RNA from 1 species